rnacentral:rRNA from 1 species
AAGGUAGGAUAAUAAUUAGUUUUUUAAUUGAAAGCUUGUAUGAAUGGUUGGACAAAAAAAUGACUGUCUCUUUAUUAAUGAUAGAAUUUAACUUUUAAGUGAAAAGGCUUAAAUUUUUUAGAGUGACGAUAAGACCCUAUAAAAGUUUAUAUAUAGAUUAAUAUAUCUUAAAUUAUUUAUAUUUAGAUAAUUUGAUUGUUAUAUUUUAUUGGGGUGAUAAAAAAAUAAUUUAUAUUAACUGUUUUCUUUUUUAUACAAUUUUAAGUGAAACAUCAUUGAUCCUUAUUUAAAGAUUAAAAGAUAAAGUUACUUUAGGGAUAACAGCGUAAUUUUUUUUGAAAGUUCAUAUUAAUAAAAAAGUUUGCGACCUCGAUGUUGAAUUAAGAUGUCUAUUAAAUGCAGCAGUUUAAAUAAGAAGGUCUGUUCGACCUUUAAUAUCUUACA